UUUAUUAUUAUAUUAUGUCUUAGUUUUGUAACUAAAAUGGUUUGGCAGCAAGUGAUUCUAGCUAGGGGAAGGUGCGUUGUAAAGGAUGGUCCGCCUAUUAUUUUACUUAUUUUAUGUUGGUGUAUAUCUAGUUUAAUAUUAUUGUUUAAUGAUUUAAAUUGUGUAUAUGAAGUUAUUUAAGCUAAGUCUAUGUGCUGCUUGAAUAAGAUUUCGUGCGUUACAUUUAUAUGGUUAUUAUAAGUGAUAUUUUGUAAAAUAGUUAGGACUUAGUAGUAAUGUAAAAUUAGUUUGUUAUUG
rnacentral:rRNA from 1 species